AGGAUGAACGCUAGCUACAGGCUUAACUCAUGCAAGUCGAGGGGCAGCAUUUUAGUUUGCUUGCAAACUGAAGAUGGCGACCGGCGCACGGGUGAGUAACACGUAUCCAACCUGCCGAUAACUCCGGAAUAGCCUUUCGAAAGAAAGAUUAAUACCGGAUAGCAUACGAAUAUCGCAUGAUAUUUUUAUUAAAGAAUUUCGGUUAUCGAUGGGGAUGCGUUCCAUUAGUUUGUUGGCGGGGUAACGGCCCACCAAGACUACGAUGGAUAGGGGUUCUGAGAGGAAGGUCCCCCACAUUGGAACUGAGACACGGUCCAAACUCCUACGGGAGGCAGCAGUGAGGAAUAUUGGUCAAUGGGCGAGAGCCUGAACCAGCCAAGUAGCGUGAAGGAUGAAGGCUCUAUGGGUCGUAAACUUCUUUUAUAUGGGAAUAAAGUUUUCCACGUGUGGAAUUUUGUAUGUACCAUAUGAAUAAGGAUCGGCUAACUCCGUGCCAGCAGCCGCGGUAAUACGGAGGAUCCGAGCGUUAUCCGGAUUUAUUGGGUUUAAAGGGAGCGUAGGUGGAUUGUUAAGUCAGUUGUGAAAAUUUGCGGCUCAACCGUAAAAUUGCAGUUGAAACUGGCAGUCUUGAGUACAGUAGAGGUGGGCGGAAUUCGUGGUGUAGCGGUGAAAUGCUUAGAUAUCACGAAGAACUCCGAUUGCGAAGGCAGCUCACUAGACUGUCACUGACACUGAUGCUCGAAAGUGUGGGUAUCAAACAGGAUUAGAUACCCUGGUAGUCCACACAGUAAACGAUGAAUACUCGCUGUUUGCGAUAUACAGUAAGCGGCCAAGCGAAAGCAUUAAGUAUUCCACCUGGGGAGUACGCCGGCAACGGUGAAACUCAAAGGAAUUGACGGGGGCCCGCACAAGCGGAGGAACAUGUGGUUUAAUUCGAUGAUACGCGAGGAACCUUACCCGGGCUUAAAUUGCAACAGAAUAUAUUGGAAACAGUAUAGCCGUAAGGCUGUUGUGAAGGUGCUGCAUGGUUGUCGUCAGCUCGUGCCGUGAGGUGUCGGCUUAAGUGCCAUAACGAGCGCAACCCUUAUCUUUAGUUACUAACAGGUUAUGCUGAGGACUCUAGAGAGACUGCCGUCGUAAGAUGUGAGGAAGGUGGGGAUGACGUCAAAUCAGCACGGCCCUUACGUCCGGGGCUACACACGUGUUACAAUGGGGGGUACAGAAGGCGGCUACCUGGUGACAGGAUGCUAAUCCCAAAAACCUCUCUCAGUUCGGAUCGAAGUCUGCAACCCGACUUCGUGAAGCUGGAUUCGCUAGUAAUCGCGCAUCAGCCAUGGCGCGGUGAAUACGUUCCCGGGCCUUGUACACACCGCCCGUCAAGCCAUGAAAGCCGGGGGUACCAGAAGUACGUAACCGCAAGGAGCGUCCUAGGGU
rnacentral:rRNA from 1 species